rnacentral:rRNA from 16 species
GGCUUAUUAAGUCGGAUGUGAAAUCCCCGAGCUUAACUUGGGAAUUGCAUUCGAUACUGGUGAGCUAGAGUAUGGGAGAGGAUGGUAGAAUUCCAGGUGUAGCGGUGAAAUGCGUAGAGAUCUGGAGGAAUACCGAUGGCGAAGGCAGCCAUCUGGCCUAAUACUGACGCUGAGGUACGAAAGCAUGGGGAGCAAACAGGAUUAGAUAC